UGAGGCGAAAGGAAGGCCUGCCCUCCCCUCCCGACGGAAAGCAACGGCCCGAUCCCAUCAUGCACCACGCCCCUAAUAGACAGCAAGGUCGAGAUUGUAGAGAAGAGACAGUGUGAAGUGGAUGUCUCGUGCCUUGUGACGGGAGCGAGCUAUGAAGAGCCAGUUGUUGAUGUAUGGAAAAAAUUUUAUUUUGUGAAGUCUGAGGUAAGCUGCUACAGGAGCCAUGCAUUUGGUAAAAACCUUGGGAGCUGUUGCAAGUCCAAAUGGGAGCCUUUUGAACUGACAGGCUUGGAUUCCUAAGCUGGAAGGUAUGGCCUGUGAGAGGGAUGGAUGGAUACAUGGAAGUAGGCAUGCCUUCGGUCUAUGACUGCAAACUAGUCUCUUUUGUGGAGUAGGGGAGAACAGAUUCAAGGGUAACCAUAUGGAAUUUGGUGGUGAUGAUGUAUUGAUUUAGUUCCCUGGGGUUGAGGAUGGGGCGGAGGCCUCCAUCUUUUUGGGAAUGGUAAAAUAAUGAGAGAAAAAACCUCUGCUUAUCUGGUGUACCGGUUCUAUAGUGUCUUUGAGUAGCAAUACUUGUAUUUCUUUCAUCCUACAGGGUUUGAGAUGGAGGUCUAACUGUGUACAAUGAUGGAGGGAGCUGGUGGAAUUUUAUGUGGUACCCACUUCAGAUGAUGGAAAGGACCCUAGCAUCUGUGGUGAUGCUUUCCCAUGCAGAUUAAAGGCUCACAGACGCAAUGAACGAGGCUCUCAACACGGCGGUUGAAAAAACUGAAGGGAGAGUCUUGGUGUCAAGGUACAUAUGCCAAGAGGGAGGGGGCUACACUAAUGGUUUUUUUGCUACUGCAGAAGCUCUGGAAUAUUCCGACAAGGCUCCGUGCAUGCGUGGAUUACCCAAGAUAUGACUGACAGAAGCCAUGAAGAACUAUGAAGUACUUAAAUCAUCCUGAGUGGUACCUAACUGAAGUCUGUGUAAACACAAUGGCCAAUUCCAUCUCAAUAGCUGAAUCCCUCAUUAGAAAAAUUAAAUCAGAUUAAGAACAGUGAACAAGGUUUCUAAUUUGCCAUGUAUUAUUUAAACAGACUCUUGAAAAAAGUACCUAUCCAUAUCCC